AAUCAUCGGAUGUUGGAUGGUUCCCCCUUGUCGUGGCGAUUGGGGGGAAUAAUUGGGAAUGUGACGGAUGGACCCAAACCGGGCAUCCUUAUCGCAGCCGACCCCGCGACUGUAGAACGGUCAGGGUUCGCCAUCGGGCUCAAAUUCAGAGCUGCCAGCCGGUUGCAUGGGGCAAUCGAGGCAGUGCGGAAUCGAGCCGGAAAAGCCACUGGCGUGGCAUCGUGAUCAGCCGGGUUGGACGCCUCUUCUUCUACGAAUCGUCCGCCUUUCAUGAUGUCGCCCACAGCGCCCAUGCGUCGGAGACGACGCGCAAAGGUUCGCUGUGGCACUGGAAAGCGCCGGGAAGGUGAGGCGGGCCGCUCGGGUCCUGACAUCGGAACCUCGUCCAUUCGGGGCGAGGCGAUGUGGGGCCUGUGACGCCGUGAGCCAGGAGACCUGCCACCCGACAUGGGCAUUC
rnacentral:ncRNA from 1 species